GGCUGUGCCUGAGGAUAAAUGGUUUUGCCCAUCCUGUCGAUGCCAUAUUUGCAGUUCGAGUGAAUUUAAUCCUGAUACUGAAAAAUUCUCUGAUAAAACAAUGUUAUAUUGUGAUCAGUGUGAGCAUGAAUACCAUGUUGGAUGUAUGAGAAAAGGAGGAUGGAAAAAUUUACAGUCAUGUCCAACUGGAAAUUGGUUUUGUAGUGCCAGUUGUUCAAAGGUAUGCUGUUAGCCUUGCAAGGGUGAAACUUGGAGCAAUGGAUAUUUUCAUCAUUGGCCUUAUUGUCAUAGGGUUGAAACUGCGAAAAAAACUCAUUCUGUUACGGGGAUUUACUUGCCUUAAUGAAAUAUCUCUCAAACACCGCAAUAGUGGGAACGUAAUGCACUCUGUACCCCCUUCCAAAUAGGGAUAGCCUUGCCCAAAAUAAAAUAAACUAAAUACUUGAUCUUGUUUAAAUC